rnacentral:misc_RNA from 1 species
GGAUCUCCCUAUCCGCAUCAAACCACACAGACAUGUCAUUCACAUGCAGCUGUUUGGCAUGAACUCAAUCGCAUUGUGAAACAUAAUCAUGAUCCUGUACGUUGUCUAGAAACUCUUAUUCACAUUCUUCGAGAUGCCGUCGAAAAACAAGGAGACCCCUGCCAUUGCCACCCUGUUGCUUCAACUACAAGACCAACAGAAACAACUACGAAAAUGACCACAACAACAAUUGAUUUCACAACCACACAAUCAACAACAAAAUCAACAACUGCACAACCAACAACAAAAACAACACAACUAGCAACAUUAACCACGAAACCAACAACAAUACAAUCAACUACAGCAACUACGAAACUAACUACAGUGGCAGCUACACAAACAUCUUUUAACUGGGUCACAAUCAAAAACACAACAUCUUCAACCGUAGCUGUGGGGCAUACAACGCAGUGUUUGAAAAUUCACACGAUUGAGGAACUUGCCAAAUACCAGCAAAUGUAUCCCGAGUUAAAUACUGACUGUUCCAAUCACAUAUCCACGUCAAAUCUUAUUGUUAGGUCAUUAUGUCCUUCAGUUCCUGUAACGCAAAAUUGGAAACCGGGAGUCAAGGUGACCGAAUCAUGUGACAUUUUGAAGACCUAUAUUCCCGUUGCAACCUUUACCCCAUCCUCUGAGAACCCCCCUGACGGACUUGCUGGAGUGUUUCUUGGUUGUACUGAUUCCUCAAUAAAGAUUGCAACACAGGAGUGUGGUGGACGGUUCAGCAUACUAGAGCUUCCACGUCAACCCGCUCAGUCUGAAAGUUUUACCAACACUGCUUCAAAUUAUCACGUCGUUAUGUACUGAUUUUUAACAAAUCUAAGAUCCAAUAAAGUUGUCAAUUCAGUC